rnacentral:rRNA from 1 species
UACGUAGGGUGCGAGCGUUGUCCGGAAUUAUUGGGCGUAAAGAGCUCGUAGGCGGUGUGUCACGUCGGCCGUGAAAACCUGGGGCUUAACUCUGGGCGUGCGGUCGAUACGGGCAUCACUAGAGUUCGGCAGGGGAGACUGGAAUCCUGGUGUAGCGGUGAAAUGCGCAGAUAUCAGGAGGAACACCGAUGGCGAAGGCAGGUCUCUGGGCCACUACUGACGCUGAGAAAGCGAAAGCGUGGGGAGCGAACAGG